UUGGUAAAAUAUAUCUAAAAC
rnacentral:piRNA from 1 species